UCUCCUCGAAAUAGCUUUAGGGCUAGCCUCAUGGAUCAUUGAUGGGGGUAGAGCACUGAAUGUGCGCGGGGGCCACAAAGCCUACCAAACGCUAUCAAACUUCGAAUACCAUACAAUGCAGACCAUGGGAGUCAGUCCGCGAGAGAUAAGUUCCGCGGGCAAAAGGGGAACACCCCAGAUCAACCGCUAAGGUCCCCAAGUUCACGUUAAGUGGAGAAGGAUGUGGAAUUGCACAGACAACCAGGAUGUUGGCUCAGAAGCAGCCACACAUUUAAAGAGUGCGUAAUAGCUCACUGGUCGAGUGAUUGUGCGCCGAAGAUGUCCGGGGCUAAACGUGACACCGAAGCGAUGGGUGCAUCUGAAAGGAUGCGCGGUAGAGGAGCAAUGUGCAGAGGCAGAAGCCGUAUCGAGAGGCACGGUGGACACUGCACAAGAGAGAAUGCCGGUAUGAGUAGCGAGAGGCAUGCGAGAAACAUGCCCGUCGAAAGCCCAAGGUUUCCUGGGGAAGGUUCAUCCGCCCAGGGUAAGUCGGGGCCUAAGCCGAGGACGGAAGUCGUAGGCGAUGGACAGCAGGUGUAGAUUCCUGCACUACCGAUGGAAUGAAGCAGUGACACAGAAGGAUAACUCGAGCAGGGUGAUGGUCAACCCUGUGCAAGCAUCAAGGUUGGGUUGUAGUGAAGUACGCAACCUUAUAAGCUGAGAUGUGAUGCGGACCGAAAUUUCAGUAGGGAAGCGAGUGAGUUCACGCUGGCGAGAAAAGCUGCUAGUACAUCCAAAGGUACCCGUACCGGAAACCGACGCAGGUGGGCGAGGAGAGAAUCCUGAGACGAACGGGAGAACCCUUGUUAAGGAACUCGGCAAAAUGACCCCGUAACUUCGGGAUAAGGGGUGCCUGCGAGAGCAGGCCGCAGAGAAUAGUCACAAGCGACUGUUUAGCAAAAACACAGGUAUCUGCGAAAGCGAGAGCUGACGUAUAGGUGCUGACACCUGCCCGGUGCUGGAAGGUUAAGGGAACAUGUUAGAGCAAUCGAAGCAUCGAACCGAAGCCCCAGUAAACGGCGGCCGUAACUAUAACGGUCCUAAGGUAGCGAAAUUCCUUGUCGGGUAAGUUCCGACCCGCACGAAUGGUGUAACGACUUGUGAGCUGUCUCAACAGGGGGCCCGGUGAAAUUGAAGUAUGGGUGAAGAUGCCCAUUACCCGCGACUGGACGGAAAGACCCCGUAGAGCUUUACUGCAGCCUGAUAUUGAGUUUCGGUAACUGAUGCACAGGAUAGGUGGGAGUCUGAGAGACAUGGGUUUCGGCUCAUGUGGAGACGGUGUUGGGAUACCACUCUUCGGUUACUGAAAUUCUAACAUAGCUCUGUGAAACCAGAGGAUGGACAGUGUCAGGUGGACAGUUUGACUGGGGCGGUCGCCUCCGAAAGAGUAACGGAGGCGCCCAAAGGUACCCUCAGAAUGGAUGGAAACCAUUCGAAGAGCGCAAAGGCAGAAGGGUGCCUGACUGCGAGAGUGACAACUCGAGCAGAGACGAAAGUCGGGCUUAGUGAUCCGGCGGUAUUGAGUGGAAAAGCCGUCGCUUAACGGAUAAAAGCUACCUCGGGGAUAACAGGCUGAUCUCCCCCAAGAGUCCACAUCGACGGGGAGGUUUGGCACCUCGAUGUCGGCUCAUCGCAUCCUGGGGCUGUAUUCGGUCCCAAGGGUUUGGCUGUUCGCCAAUUAAAGCGGCACGCGAGCUGGGUUCAGAACGUCGUGAGACAGUUCGGUCCCUAUCCAUCGUGGGCGUAGGAGUCAUGAGAGGAGCUGUUCCUAGUACGAGAGGACCGGAAUGGACGCACCACUGGUGCAACUGUUGUCGUGCCAACGGCAUAGCAGGGAAGCGAAGUGCGGAUGGGAUAAACGCUGAAGGCAUCUAAGCGUGAAGCCCACCUCAAGAAUAAGUGU
rnacentral:rRNA from 1 species